rnacentral:rRNA from 1 species
GUUUGUUUCUGACACUGAAUACACCCAAUCUUGUCUGAUCUGCAAAGCUAAGCAGGGUUGGGCCUGGUUAGUAUUUGGAUGGGAGACUACCUGGGAAUACCAGGUGCUGUAAGCU